UGAAGAAAAUGUUUUUAUAUCAUAAAGGGAAUUUUACGCUAGACUGCUCUGCUAAAACAUCUGAAUCAUUAACUAACCUUCUUAACAAGGAUUGUUCACAUGCAAUGUCUUCACAGCCAACACCAUCUACCCUGCAAAAGAUGAAAGUAGGGUUUGGAGAUCUGUUGCAUAGUCAAGAAUUCUUUGAUGAUCAGGUACUUUCCCAACUUGGAUUGGCAUUGCAAGAUUUUUCGAGAAGUAUCAAAGAUAUUGAGAAAAAAUGUGAUAAACAGUUGAUGAAGCUCUUAAUGAAGCAAAAGGAAGAAAUGGAGGAACUUGACAGAAAGUGCAAGGAAGAGAAGGCACAGCUUGA
rnacentral:misc_RNA from 1 species